rnacentral:rRNA from 1 species
ACGGGAGGCAGCAGUGGGGAAUAUUGGGCAAUGGGCGCAAGCCUGACCCAGCAACGCCGCGUGAAGGAUGAAGGUCUUCGGAUUGUAAACUUCUUUGAUCAGGGACGAAUAAAUGACGGUACCUGAAGAACAAGUCACGGCUAACUACGUGCCAGCAGCCGCGGUAAUACGUAGGUGACAAGCGUUAUCCGGAUUUACUGGGUGUAAAGGGCGUGUAGGCGGUUUGGCAAGUCAGAAGUGAAAUUCCCGGGCUUAACUUGGGCGCUGCUUCUGAAACUGCUUUACUUGAGUACUGGAGAGGAUAGUGGAAUUCCUAGUGUAGCGGUAAAAUGCGCAGAUAUUAGGAGGAACACCGGUGGCGAAGGCGGCUAUCUGGACAGUAACUGACGCUGAGGCGCGAAAGCACGGGGAGCAAACAGGAUUAGAUACCCUGGUA